GGCAUCAUGGUGUAGUAGUUAGCAUACAAGACUCUGAAUCUUGGGACCUGAGUGCAAAUCUCAGUGAUGCCU
rfam:Parastrongyloides trichosuri strain KNP genome assembly, scaffold: PTRK_scaffold0000003